rnacentral:sRNA from 1 species
AUUUUGCGUUAGGGAUAGUAGUGAAAAUCCCGCAUCCCGAGCUAUUCGGGAGAGGAAUUGUAACGUAUAGCCCGCUCGAAC